rnacentral:piRNA from 1 species
UCUUUAGACAGAAGUUUUAAGGAAUAUA